UACGUAGGGCGCAAGCGUUAUCCGGAAUUAUUGGGCGUAAAGCGCGUGUAGGCGGCCCGGUAAGUCCGCUGUGAAAGUCGGGGGCUCAACCCUCGGAUGCCGGUGGAUACUGUCGGGCUCGAGUACGGAAGAGGCGAGUGGAAUUCCUGGUGUAGCGGUGAAAUGCGCAGAUAUCAGGAGGAACACCAAUUGCGAAGGCAGCUCGCUGGGACGUUACUGACGCUGAGACGCGAAAGCGUGGGGAGCAAACAGG
rnacentral:rRNA from 1 species